UACGUAGGAGGCGAGCGUUGUCCGGAGUUACUGGGCGUAAAGGGUGCGCAGGCGGCGUUCCGCGUGGCGAGAUGAAAUCUCCUGGCUUACCUGGGAGGGUGGUCGCCAGACGGGAGCGCUUGAGGGUCGGAGAGGGGCGUGGAAUUCCGGGUGGAGCGGUGAAAUGCGUAGAGAUCCGGAGGAACACCGACGGCGUAGGCAGCGCCCUGGACGACACCUGACGCUGAGGUACGAAAGCUGGGGGAGCGAACAGG
rnacentral:rRNA from 1 species